rnacentral:tRNA from 2 species
GCGCCCAUCGUCUAGUGGUCAGGACGCCGCCCUCUCACGGCGGCAACACGGGUUCGAGUCCCGUUGGGCGUACCA